UAACGGUUCAACCUUCCGGCCCGAUGCUGGCACCUGCCCUUCUUGCAGUAGUCGUUUUUUGGGCUAAUUGCACUCAAGUGGUGAAACGUUGAUUUAUAAAUCGAAACGUGCCCUGAAUCGUGGGAUAACACUUCACAUGCUUUUCUACACAUUAUACUUCCUGAGGGUGAAAGUGGGGGACCGAUUGGCCUCAUGUUUGGGAACGGCCAAUGUCUGAUUAAUUAGUUGGUGAGGUAAAGGCUCACCAAGGCAACUAUCAAUAGCUGGUCUGAGAGGACAAUUACCAGAACUGGAACUGAAACACGGCCCAAACUCCUACGGGGGGCAGCAGUGGGGAAUUUUGGACUAUGGGGGCUACCCUGAUCCAACAAUGCCGUGUGUGUGAAGAAGGCCUUCGGGUUGUAAAGCACUUUUGUCCGGAAAGAAAUCGCACUUACUAAUAUUAUGUGUGGAUGACUGUACCGGAAUAAUAAGGACCGGCUAACUACGUGCCAGCAGCCGCGGUAAUACGUAUGUUCCAUGCGUUAAUCGUAAUUACUGAGCGUAAUGCGUGCGCAGGUGGUUGUGCAAGACCGAUGUGAUAUCCCCGGGCUUAACCUGUGAAUUGCAUUGGUGACUGCACGGCUAGAGUGUGUCAGAGGGAUGCUAGAUUUCCACGUGUAUCAGUGAAAUGCGUAGAGAUGUGNNNGAAUACCGAUGGCGANGCNNNNNCCCCUGNGAUNACACUGANNNNUCAUGCNACGAAAGCGUGGGAGCAAACAGGAUAGAUACCCUGGUAGUCACGCCCUAAACGAUGUCAACUAGUUGUUGGGGAUUCAUUUCCUUAGUAACGUAGCUAACGCGUGAAGUUGACCGCCUGGGGAGUACGGUCGCAAGAUUAAAACUCAAAGGAAUUGACGGGGACCCGCACAAGCGGUGGAUGAUGUGGAUUAAUUCGAUGCAACGCGAAAAACCUUACCUACCCUUGACAUGCCACUAACGAAGCAGAGAUGCAUUAGGUGCUCGAAAGAGAAAGUGGACACAGGUGCUGCAUGGCUGUCGUCAGCUCGUGUCGUGAGAUGUUGGGUUAAGUCCCGCAACGAGCGCAACCCUUGUCUCUAGUUGCUACGAAAGGGCACUCUAGAGAGACUGCCGGUGACAAACCGGAGGAAGGUGGGGAUGACGUCAAGUCCUCAUGGCCCUUAUGGGUAGGGCUUCACACGUCAUACAAUGGUGCAUACAGAGGGUCGCCAAGCCGCGAGGUGGAGCUAAUCCCAGAAAAUGCAUCGUAGUCCGGAUCGUAGUCUGCAACUCGACUACGUGAAGCUGGAAUCGCUAGUAAUCGCGGAUCAGCAUGCCGCGGUGAAUACGUUCCCGGGUUUUGUACACACCGCCCGUCACACCAUGGGAAUUGGUUUUGCCAGAAGUAGUUAGCCUAACCGCAAGGGGGGAGA
rnacentral:rRNA from 1 species